rnacentral:ncRNA from 2 species
UAAAUUAAAGGAAAUGGCUAUCUUCCUUCUACAAACCGCCACUAACGGCUGAUGAUACCUACGUUACC